UACGUAGGGUGCAAGCGUUGUCCGGAAUUAUCGGGCGUAAAGAGCUCGUAGGCGGUCUGUCGCGUCGGAUGUGAAAAAUCCAGGGCUCGAACCCUGGACCUGCAUUCGAUACGGGCAGACUAGAGUUCGGCAGGGGAGACUGGAAUUCCUGGUGUAGCGGUGAAAUGCGCAGAUAUCAGGAGGAACACCGGUGGCGAAGGCGGGUCUCUGGGCCACUGACUG
rnacentral:rRNA from 1 species